AUUGAACGCUGGCGGCAUGCUUUACACAUGCAAGUCGAACGGUAACAGGUUAAGCUGACGAGUGGCGAACGGGUGAGUAAUGCAUCGGAACGUGCCCGAUCGUGGGGGAUAACGCAGCGAAAGCUGCGCUAAUACCGCAUACGAUCUGAGGAUGAAAGCGGGGGACCGUAAGGCCUCGCGCGAUCGGAGCGGCCGAUGUCAGAUUAGGUAGUUGGUGGGGUAAAGGCUCACCAAGCCAACGAUCUGUAGCUGGUCUGAGAGGACGACCAGCCACACUGGGACUGAGACACGGCCCAGACUCCUACGGGAGGCAGCAGUGGGGAAUUUUGGACAAUGUGCGAAAGCCUGAUUCAGCAAUGCCGCGUGCAGGAAGAAGGCCUUCGGGUUGUAAACUGCUUUUGUACGGAGCGAAAAGGUCUCCUCUAAUACAGGGGGCUCAUGACGGUACCGUAAGAAUAAGCACCGGCUAACUACGUGCCAGCCGCCGCCGUAA
rnacentral:rRNA from 1 species